CAAUGAUCGUCGAAUCAACAUCCCACAUGGCGGUUAUCUCGUGAGCCAAGUCUAGGUACUUACUGGACUUGUCCUUCUCGGCCUUCACGAGAUUCUCAUCAUGGGGGAUGAUGUUUAUUAUUAUUAUUAUUAUGAGCCCAUAUUGUCCCACUGUUGGGCAAAGGCCUCCCUCUUAUUCUUCCACGUAUCCCUAUCCGCAGAAGUCUCCCACCAGUCUCUGUCAAAAGCGUCAAGCUCGUCCCGCCAUCUCCGACGAGGUCUACCGUGACGCCUUACAAUUUGUGGUACCCAACGGGUGGCUGUUUUGGCCCACAGGUCUUCUGGCAUACGGCUGACGUGUCCUGCCCAAUCCCAUUUGAGCUUGGCGGCAGUUUCAGCCACAUCAGUUAUUCCAGUUUUGGAACGUAGUAUUGUAUUUUUAAUGCGAUCGGUUAAUUUCACGCUCAGAAUACUACGUUCCAUGGCUCGCUGACAAACCUUGAGUUUGGAUUUCUGAGCCUUUGUCAAAGACCAAGUCUGUGCUCCAUAGGUAAGGAUGGGGAGAAUGCACAUGUCCAUGAGUUUUCUUUUAAGUGAUAUAGGUAGGUUUCCCUUCAUGUGCUCCUUCAUGGACCAAAAGCUCCUCCAGGCAUUCUCGGUCCGUCUUGCGACUUCUUUGUCU